UACAGAGGGGGCGAGCGUUGUUCGGAAUUACUGGGCGUAAAGGGCGCGUAGGCGGCCCGCUAAGUCGAACGUGAAAUCCCCAGGCUCAACCUGGGAACUGCGUCCGAUACUGGCAGGCUUGAAUCCGGGAGAGGGAUGUGGAAUUCCAGGUGUAGCGGUGAAAUGCGUAGAUAUUGGGAGGAACACCAGUGGCGAAGGCGGCUCACUGGACCGGAACUGACGCUGAGGCGCGAAAGCGUGGGGAGCAAACGGG
rnacentral:rRNA from 1 species